CACAAAUUUCCAAGAGUCGAAAGAAAAAAUACGCAAUGAAACCAGCCAAACGACUCUCCUAGUGUCACUCAUAGGAAACUAACGUUUCCAUAUGAAACAUUCUGCAAAAUUCCGUUUCUUUUGCUACCCAAUCAAUCAAGCCCCUUUCAAUUCAGAGAGAAGUAGAACCAAUAGAAUUCAAGAUUAAUGGAGUUUCGUCGUAAUUGGGUGUGAGUCUGUGUAAGAAUUCAGGUAAGAAGACAGAGUGUCGAGGACUGCGACGGAGAGGAGCCACCGCCAUUUUUUGUUGGGCUGGACAGAAUCUUCAAGCUUCGUUCGUCUCAAUCUCACUCGAGUUCUGCCUUCGCCAGACUUUGUAGGUAAGGACACAACGUAGGUGGCAGAACUGGACGUCGUUCAAAGGGCCAAACAUCAAACUCAUUAUUAUGGGCAUAUAUGCAUUUUGUAUCACUAUGCUAAUGUUUUAUGGAUCCUGGUGUUUUGUAAAAUAAACUUUUUAUACAGUUUUCUACCUAAUUAAUAAAAUUUUAGAUAUGUUCUUUUGAAAUUUUUACCAAAA